AUACGUAGGCGGCAAGCGUUAUCCGGAUUUACUGGGUGUAAAGGGCGUGUGGGCGGUAUACCAAGUCAGAUGUGAAAUCUCCCGGCUCAACCGGGAGCGUGCAUCUGAAAUUGGUACACUUGAGUGCUGGAGGGGAAAGCGGAAUUCCUAGUGUAGCGGUAAAAUGCGUAGAUAUUAGGAGGAACACCGGUGGCGAAGGCGGCUUUCUGGACAGUAACUGACGCUGAAGCGCAAAAGCGUGGGGAGCAAACAGGAUUAGAUACCCUGGUAGUCCACGCCAUAAACGAUGAAUACUAGGUGUAGGGGGUAUCGACCCCCUCUGUGCCGACGUUAACACAUUAAGUAUUCCACCUGGGGAGUACGGCCGCAAGGCUGAAACUCAAAUGAAUUGACGGGG
rnacentral:rRNA from 1 species